AGUCAGGUCUAGUCAGGUCCAAUCAGGUCUAGUCAGGUCCAGUCAGGUCUAGUCAGGUCCAGUCAGGUCUAGUCAGGUCCAAUCAGGUCUAGUCAGGUCUAGUCAGGUCCAAUCAGGUCUAGUCAGGUCCAGUCAGGUCUAGUCAGGUCCAAUCAGGUCUAGUCAGGUCUAGUCAGGUCCAAUCAGGUCUAGUCAGGUCCAAUCAGGUCUAGUCAGGUCCAGUCAGGUCUAGUCAGGUCCAAUCAGGUCUAGUCAGGUCUAGUCAGGUCCAAUCAGGUCUAGUCAGGUCCAGUCAGGUCUAGUCAGGUCCAAUCAGGUCUAGUCAGGUCCAGUCAGGUCUAGUCAGGUCCAAUCAGGUCUAGUCAGGUCCAGUCAGGUCUAGUCAGGUCCAGUCAGGUCUAGUCAGGUCCAGUCAGGUCUAGUCAGGUCCAAUCAGGUCUAGUCAGGUCCAAUCAGGUCUAGUCAGGUCCAGUCAGGUCUAGUCAGGUCCAGUCAGGUCUAGUCAGGUCCAAUCAGGUCCAAUCAGGUCUAGUCAGGUCCAAUCAGGUCUAGUCAGGUCCAAUCAGGUCUAGUCAGGUCCAAUCAGGUCUAGUCAGGUCUAGUCAGGUCCAAUCAGGUCUAGUCAGGUCCAAUCAGGUCUAGUCAGGUCCAAUCAGGUCUAGUCAGGUCUAGUCAGGUCCAGUCAGGUCUAGUCAGGUCUAGUCAGGUCUAGUCAGGUCCAAUCAGGUCUAGUCAGGUCUAGUCAGGUCUAGUCAGGUCCAAUCAGGUCUAGUCAGGUCCAAUCAGGUCUAGUCAGGUCCAAUCAGGUCUAGUCAGGUCUAGUCAGGUCUAGUC